AUGACAGUCUUUUAGAAAAUAAAGUAGAGCAAGAGUUAAGUGAACAAGAAAAAUCGGAUGCGUGGGAUACAUACGAGAAGGAGUUGCAUUUAAAUUUUGAACAAAAGGGAAACAUGGAUAUGGAAAAGUUGGAAAAUAAUAUUUCGAUUACCGGAUUGUCAUCAUACUCAUCAAAUUUUCCUAAUUUUAGUAUGCAAACUCUGUUAAACUACAGCCUGGGGCCUUCAUUCAACUAUUCUCUAAAUCAAAACUAUUAUGAUGGCCUUAAAUAUUACCAAAAAUACUCACCCCAUCAAAUUGACUUAUAUUUAAAGGAUCAAAUACUUAAUUCAUCAUCCUAUGGAAAUCCAAUUUUUACGAAUACCCAAAGCUUACCUGAUAAUUCAAGCUCUUCAAUGAUAUCAAAUUUACGUACAAACAACCUGCAAAAUAUAAGUUCAUCGACAGGAGUCAGUGUUUCUUGCCCUGGCAAUUCACUUUCGACACUUGAACAUUACCAGCUCUUGUUGGGAAAUUCGCUUAACUAUCAACUAUCCAAUUCAACUAUUAACUAUCCAAAUCAAAGCGACGUAUCUAAAAAAGGGAUAUCACAAAAACAGAUUGAAAGUUCAUCUAUUGAAAAACACAAUAUUAAUAUUUGCGACGACUACUUUAAUCAAAACGUAGUCGCACAUCCUUAACCAAAUGUCAGUCAACCUAUAAAUUCCGUUGAUUGUCAUUCAUUUUCAGAUUCAAAACGGCCUAUUCAAAGUAAAGAAACUAAUGAAACUGCUCAAUUAACUAACAAGGCUAUAACAAAUAAAACUUGUAAACUAAAGGAAAACAAUACCUUAUCGGUUGAAAAUAAUAAUUCCCUUACUGAAAACAUAAGUACACAAAAAUAUUUUAGUACUAACAUUAUUUCAAAGGAAAGUCGUCUACCAGUGUCUAAUAGUACUCCUAAGCAGUUAUAUGGGACACCUAGUAUAUCUCUUAUUUCAAUCGAUACUAUUAAUCAUAAUAAUACAAAUAAUGUUCAAAUUGAAACUGAAUCGCGAAUCCCAGAAAAAAAUAUGCAUCUUAAAAGGAUGGUUAAGAAAUCUAUUGGUCCUAAAUUAACGUUUACAAAAUUAACUAAAAUACAGAAAGAUUCCCGUCAAUUUGAAUUUUUGACGUCGAUUUCUUCAGCUAUCUCUAAGAACGUAAAUCAAGAAACAUCUCAUUCAGAAUUGCACACUAUGGAAUGUCGCCAAAAUGUACCCUCAAAAGCCACUGUUAUAAAAAAGUCUUCGCUUACAGGAGGUUGGAAAAAAAAAUGACAAACCAAAUAUGAACGAAUUUAUUAAUUCAUUACUAAAGAAAAGUAGAGACUCAGAUCCAGUCAAAUAUUAUGAGGAAAAGGCAAUACAGAACAAAAGUAACCAACACUCAGAACAUGUUCAUCAAGGCUUUGACGAAUCGAAUGCCC